ensembl:lncRNA LINC02347 long intergenic non-protein coding RNA 2347
UGGGCACUGUCAAGAGACCCAGCUUUGACUUCAAAUGCCACCCAGAGGGACAACUGCUCACUUUCAGAGCAGGAGCAGGAGGCCAGAGGAGAGUGUGAGUCUAACAUCUGCACAGUGAGAAGUCCAGGAGAAGCAAAAAUGAGAUCCAGGCUGGAGCGGCUGUGCCAGAGUGCUGGUAACAAUAAUAGAGAACCAUCCAUAUCCACAAGAGGCAGAACCUCUUCCAGCAAAAUGGUGCUGCCUCACCCAAAGGUAUCACUAAGCAUAUAGAUUAUAGAAGCCUGAGAUGGUGAGUGGAAUCUGAAAAUGAAAUCUAACAUUUACCAAAGAUACAGAGAAGGAGGAAGAGACUGGAUUCGUUGUUCCGGCCCCUGAGUCUAGUCAGUCAGUUCUACUCUUGGGCUUUGUAGUUCUGUUCAUCAGUGAACUCUUCUGUUUUGUUGAAACCAGUUGGAGAAGGGUUUCCAGAAACCUGCACUUGAAGAGCAUCAGCUGGCACAGAGAUCUUGGCUGAACCCACUGCUGUGUUUGACUAGGAAUGAGAGUGGGCACACGGAGAGGGCAGCCCACCAGGCAGGUGUGUCUCACAUCACUGGGGAGCCCUUUUCAUUCAAAGAUGACCAGCUUAUAAAAGAUCAGUGAUGGGAAGUCCCAGGUAGGGCCCCCAGGACCUACAGCAGGGGCCAGCAAAGAAUGGUCAGCCGUCUCUCUACUGGGUCAGAAAGAAAUAAUGAAAGGGGCUGAACUUGGCCAUGUGAGCUGUCCAGCAUGGAUGCCAGACCAGACCAAAAUCCAGAUUCAGACAGCUGCUCCCUAUAGCAGGGGAAACCCCAAACACAGACAAGACAAAGCAGCAGAGCAACUUCCUUACCCAGACCACUGGCAGUCCCAAUCCUUCUCCACCCCUCAGGUUGCCUGGUUACUGGACAUGCGGACAUUCACUUUGAUUAUGCUCCAUUCGAGAAUGCUAGAAUGAAAAUGUGGGUAAAUGGUGAAGGAAUUCAAGGAAAAGAAAAUGCACCCACCAUGUUUAUGUUAUAAUACCAUGCUGGACCAGACAUUUUGUCAUUCAAGGAUGAAUGUGUUACAGGGGUCCUUGCUCCCAGAGCUCCCAAGAUGGUGGUGGCUGCUUCCAAGAUGGCAGUGGCUUCCAAGAUGGUGGGUGGCUUCCAAGAUGGUGGCAAGCCUUGUGUUCUCUGACCUGGAGUUCUUGGCCUCACAGAUUCCAAGGAAUGGAAUCUUGGGCCAUGUGGUGAGUGUUAUAGCUCUAUUAGAAGCAGUGGGUCAUGGAAGAGAACCAUGGAACCCAGUAAUUAGUGUUUAGCUCAAUUAGGACGAACCCAGGCACUUAACUGUGCAGGAGCAAUGGCAAGCCUUUAGCCCGAUGGAGAGGGGCAAUGGGUGCCUCACUUGAUCAGGAGUACAGCAGACACCCUGCUGGAUCUGGAGGGAUGGAAGUCAGCGGCGGGUCUGCAACAGCGGCCAGCAGCAGUGGUGGACGGCGAGCAAAAGCCCAGCUCCAGCCAUAACAAACACAGACCAGAAGAGUGCAGUUCCAAGAUUUAAUAGAGUGAAAACAGAGCUCCCAUACAAAGGGAGGGAACCCAAAUGGGGUUGCCGUUGCCAGCUCGAAUGCCUGGUUUAUAUCCCGAUCAUUGUCCCUCCCGCUGUGCUCCCACGCAAUAGAUGAUUGGCUAUUUCUC